UGAUUACAAGCUUGCGGCUAAAUUCACAUGAUAUCACACACAUACAUACAAGCGAGGUUCGCAACACCUCCCCCCUUAUACAAAAGGUGUUUCCAAUGGGAACAGCUUUCCUUAAAGUGUUUACGCUAGCCUAAAUUACAUUGUUUGUACGGAAACUUCGCGUUGUCACACCCUUCUAUACAAGCGAUAUUUUUUACGUUGCAUGAAUCAUAUAAUAAUACGUUGUAGAUAUUAUAAGUUCUCAGGAUACAUAACUUAAACCCUAAAGUAAGAAUAGGUCAUUACAUUUUCUUGUGACUUUGAAUGGCCCUGCCAAAUUGCAAUCAAAUUUCAAGAUUUCUAGUUCUUUAGGUUUACUGCUGCUGCAGAUUGCGUGUUUCUAAUUCUGAAGAACAAAUCAUCCAAUUAACCUAAGAAAGUACGUGGAGGUUCCUGCUUAAAAAAAACUCAGAUGGAAUGGUGGCUUUCACACCGACUACCAAUUUGUGUGGGGUGAAACCAGUGGCUUCAUGUACUGAGAGUUUACGGGAGGCAAAUCGUUGGCGCCUACGACAUCCUCCCGCAACCCCCAAAAAGGAGAGGCGUCUGUGUCGUCUGUUUCAAUUUAAUUUGUCAGAGAACAAGAUUUUCCAUCAAACUGAGGUAUCAAAUCCUUCACUAAAGAGAGACGAAGAUAUGACUCUGGAAGCGUACUAGAUGACUCUAUAGAGGUUGGAGUAUUUUUAGAAACAGCAGCAGCAAACGUAGUCGAGGACAAAGAUCGGUAGAAGAUGCCCCGGAAGAUGAAGAAAAUUCUGCAUUUGAUGAAUCUAUGUUUAAUUCCUCUACCAAAAAUGUAUUUUCCCGCAGGCCGAUUUUGCGACUCCUUUUGGCGCGCAUAUACUUUAACUUAUACGGCGGCAUUUUGUCAAAUUAUUUCUAACGGUUUCACUUAACGAGUUUUCUAUUUUCAAACACCAAAUUCCGUCCGUCGGUAAUCCGUUAUCUCGGUUGGCCUUGAAUCACGGGGAGAUCCUCUGGUUCUGCGAUUUGAUGAUGAUCUCUGUUUCCAAGUCGAGGAGAGGUCCAAUGAUGAUGUGAACAAGGUGCAUGUGAUUUCGGUGGAUGGCUUGCACGGCAGCCGAAAUCACCUGUCUCCGGUAUUCACCCUACGCUCUUGAGGAAACCGUGCCAAAACUCAAGAGGAAGAAGUUGCACUAAUGUUAACAAUGUUCACUUAUAUUAUAAAAGCUGAAUGAAGCAGUCCGUAAAACGUUCAGUUAUUUAUUUAACACACGCCCGCGAGCCGGCAAAGUUAUUAAAGCGUACACAAGUCUAACACAGUCACUUUGUCUUGUUUUGCGUUAUUUACAGUUAUUACACUGAAUACACCUUUUUAAAAUUA